rnacentral:rRNA from 1 species
GACGAACGCUGGCGGCGUGCUUAACACAUGCAAGUCGAACGGAAAGGCCUCUUUCGGGGGGUACUCGAGUGGCGAACGGGUGAGUAACACGUGAGUAACCUGCCCUUGACUUUGGGAUAACUUCAGGAAACUGGGGCUAAUACCGGAUAGGAGCUCCUGCUGCAUGGUGGGGGUUGGAAAGUUUCGGCGGUUGGGGAUGGACUCGCGGCUUAUCAGCUUGUUGGUGGGGUAGUGGCUUACCAAGGCUUUGACGGGUAGCCGGCCUGAGAGGGUGACUGGCCACAUUGGGACUGAGAUACGGCCCAGACUCCUACGGGAGGCAGCAGUGGGGAAUAUUGCACAAUGGGUGGAAGCCUGAUGCAGCAACGCCGUGUGCGGGAUGACGGCCUUCGGGUUGUAAACCGCUUUCGCUCAUGACGAAGCUUUGUGUGACGGUAGUGGGUAAAGAAGCACCGGCUAACUACGUG